UUUAUGAAUCGUGAAUCACAUGUAGUAUUCUCUUCGCCAUAAGAUUAAUACGAAUAUAAACAUUUUGCCAUGUAUUGUUUCGUGUUUGCUACUAUCUCAUUUAAAUCCUGUCUGCCUAAUAAACUACGAAACUAGAGUGAGACAACAGCAAACGGGGAAGAAUAUACGUAUCAUGUCAUGUUUAUAUUCGUAUUAUUCUUAUGCCUGAUAGUGAUACAGUCAGAAAUGAAGCACGGCAACUGACUAGAUUUUUAAAUCCAAGAUGUCUCUUUCCUGUGCAGAAUGUAAUGAACUAAAGAGGCGCCUGCAAAGAUUUUGGAACGGAGAAAAAUUUUCGCUAAAAUUUCGUUCAGAACAUCAUCUAUCAUACGCAGUCUGUUAUUUGGUUCUUGUUGAUCAUUAUCAAAGAAAGCAGUAGUGUUCCUAUCAAUAUCCAGAAGCUGCAAGACCUACAUGCCCUAAGACCUUACCUGGUGGGGUAUGAAACAUUUUAUGACAGCAUUUUACAAUGGCUUUUACAGAGGCAGAAUGUGCUGUGGAAUUUGUUUAUGAGGAUUGAGUAGCUCCUACCAUGAUGAUUGAAGUAGUUGAUUAUUUCAUCUGUGUAUUAGUAAUGUAGUCUCAAGUUCAUUAAAAAUUCUGUCCUUUUCCAAA